rnacentral:lncRNA from 1 species
GAUUUUAGUUCUGGGUUUCCAGGAGGGUGCAACAUCAGAACCCUUGAAUUGCUGGGAUGCAAGGAAUUCUGUAAAUAACCCAUUAACAAUGUAGCUCCCAGGAUCGUUCACCUGUCACUAGGAUGCCACCAUCGUAUCCAAGCUCUUUUUGGUGAAGCUGUGCAACUAACCAGUGACAAGCUAGUGACUCAGUCUCUCCAACAUGUCACAAAGUAAGAGACAUUUGAUUUGCAAUUUGAGCUUAUGGCUAAUAAAGACAAGUGAAAAGAAAGAAAAGAGGAGGAGGAAGACCUUGCCAAUGAAAGAGUAAUCAAUUAUUCCAUUUAUCCACUCUCAUUAAUCCUUCCAGUCACACAGUUUCUAGAAAUAACUCUAAUACUAGCAGUGAGACUCAGUUUGCCAAACACAAUUCUCCUUCUCCUUAACAUGUGAAAAAAGGGCCCUGGCAUUCUUACAUUUUGAAAUAGUUUCUAUCACAGUCACAAGCUGCUGUAGUGGGUGUAGUCUUGCCCUUGGUUGUAUAUGCAACUACUUUUUUCCUAUUUUAUGAAAAUACGCUGGCAAGAGUUGCUACUUGAGAGGCAAACUUUUUUUCUCUUCAAAUCUGAGGUUCUCCCUAGUGUCUGCUUAGAAGGAAGAAAUCCAGCUUCCUGGAAAUAUGUUGAAUGCAUUCAACUGGGCAUUGACAACCAAAACCAUCUAGAAAAUAUUCUGUGUUUGUGGAGCAAGAUCAUCUCCCACUUUUAAAAAACAUCCAAUAGCCACGUCUUAUUUUCUGCAGCCUUGAUUCUCUUUUGCAAGCUUCCCUAAUGUACUUAUAAGAUGUAUUUAAAAAAAAAAAGAUCAUCUUUAGUUUUUCUCCCACCAGAUUCUUCUAGAAUCUCUGGGGAAAUGCAGUACGUGCCGUUGAGUGAAGCCCUCAGUCCACUGGGCUUAGGAACAUAAGGCACGCUGAACAUUCCCUGAUUACUGUAGAGAUGGAAAUGAACUAAGAGAGCAGUUUCACCAUCUACCUGCUUCCUCAGAAGGGUGCAGGGAAAAGUCAGGCCCUCUCACACCCUGGGUGGCACUUCUGACUUCUAGUUCUUGUUCACAGUGUGUACCUUUACAAAUCGGUUGUCCCCAGAAAGACAAUAGAGGUGGCCUUCUCCAGAUCGGUGGGCUUCCUGCCAUGGUUGGCUUCGAUGAUUCCCAGUGUCUAUCAACAUAUUUUCUUCAUUUACUUCUAUACACAGUCAGAAAUUCUCUCCUCGGGGAGAGCUCAAGUAUGCAGUCCUAUGCUUAGUUCUUUCCAACUGGAUCGGAAAUCAAGUCAGAAAAAGUCAGUCUACUAAUUAAGGAUACUAAAGCAGCCUUGCACUUUUAAAUGAAUGAACCCUGUAAGACAAAUCUACGUAAACUCUGAAAGCCAGCUGAUCAGGAUAUGAUGACUGAAGAGCGAUAGAAAGGGACAUUCUUUAAAAUCUUACAACUGGAAAUUUUGUAAGCUUUGCUGUGGAGGUGAAUUGUUUUAGUGUCUAGACAUGGAGCAAUUUUAGUAAAUGCACAAAGGAAAUAAAAAGAUAGGUAGGAAGGAGGAGUUUUUCAUUUGAUAGGAUUAUGGCUGAUUUACCUAAAAAAAUACUCAGUACCUACCUAGGUCAAUGGUUGAUCCUAUUCUCCAAAGACUAUCAAGUGCUCGAAAACAUUGUAAAAUGAGUCUACUCCACUGAAAAAGUUAAUGCAUCUCUCCAUUAUAAUCUAUUUUCCUGCGGUUAAAAAAAAAUCCUUUUUUAAAUACCCAUACACGUACCUACCCUACAUGUGCACUUGUGCGCAUGUGCACACACGAACACACACACACACACACACACACACACACACACCUAUUCACCCUAAGAGUUAGAAGAAAUCAUUUCCUUGAAAAAUCCUAUCUUUAAAAAAAAAAAAAAAUCGACCCAUGCCGCUUGAGACUCCUUCUCCUUCUUUGAAUGUCAAUGUAAAACGUGGUUAUGUCUGUAGAUGAAACCGUCUCAGACGCCACGGCUCCAGGGUUUCUGUUACAGUUUGUGCACUUGGGAGGAUGCGCAGAAGACAGGACGCAGCGUGUUUUGCUUUCCCCUUUACUGUUUGGCCAGCUACGCCAAUGUGGUGCUAUUGUUUCUUUAAGAAAGUACUUGACUUAAAAAAAAAGAGAAAAAAGAAAAAAAAAA